UCCAGACUCCUACGGGAGGCAGCAGUGGGGGAUAUUGCGCAAUGGGCGAAAGCCUGACGCAGCGACGCCGCGUGAGGGAUGAAGGUCUUCGGAUCGUAAACCUCUGUCAGCAGGGAAGAACGGUCACUGUGCUAAUCAGCAGUGAAUUGACGGUACCUGAGUAAGAAGCCCCGGCUAACUACGUGCCAGCAGCCGCGGUAAUACGUAGGGGGCAAGCGUUAUCCGGAUUUACUGGGUGUAAAGGGAGCGUAGACGGCCGUGCAAGCCAGGAGUGAAAGCCCGGGGCCCAACCCCGGGACUGCUCUUGGAACUGUGCGGCUAGAGUGCGGGAGGGGCAGGCGGAAUUCCUGGUGUAGCGGUGAAAUGCGUAGAUAUCAGGAGGAACACCGGCGGCGAAGGCGGCCUGCUGGACCGCGACUGACGUUGAGGCUCGAAAGCGUGGGGAGCAAACAGGAUUAGAUACCCCUGUA
rnacentral:rRNA from 1 species